rnacentral:lncRNA from 1 species
UCUUGAAUUCGUGUUUGAGAAUAACAUAGAAUCUAUUGUACAUAAAUGAUCAAAUUUAAAUCUAAUGAUCAAAGUUAAAUCUCAAAACACACAUGUAUGUAUCUUAUUUUAGAACGGAGAGAAUAUGCUAAAAAAGUUAGUAAUACAAGUCGUCAGAUAGUUGUCUGAGGUGAACCGCCGAAUUGUACCCAGCAGCUCGGGAAACCGCCGAAUUGUACCGGGCGGUGGCUCGCCUGAUCACCAAACAGCUGCGCCUGAAGAUAGCGUCACAUGGUCAAAAGAAACGGCCGUUCAUUACUCCUUAAUUAAUCCAGAAAAUCAAAAUCAAAUCCAGGAAAAGAAACUCCAUUGCCACCGUCUCGUCGUCGUCGUCGCUCGGCCCACGCGCUCCGACCAAGCCCCAGCCCUGCCCGUUAAUGGUGGGCGGGCUGCGAGAUCUACUAGGGCUCGUGGGCUUCGCCGGCGGGAGGAGAUAGAUGGACGCCCAGAACGGCGGCACGCUGACGCCGGUGUUGCUCAACGUGUACGACCUGACGCCCGUCAACGAUUACCUCUACUGGCUCGGCUUCGGCGUCUUCCACUCCGGAAUCGAAGGUAUUGGUUCGUUCUUUGCUUUUCCCCUUUGUUCUGUUCUUAGGGCGGAGUCUUCCAUGCCCGUGGUAUUCUACCCCUGGUUUGGGUAAACUGAUGGAUUCGAUUACAGACGAUAAGCAAUUGGUUGUGGUUCCGAUUUUUGAACAAUUGCCUUUGCUGUUUUAGCGUCAAUUUAAUGUUCUGGAGUUUUCCGACUAUGAAUAGAAUGUUUUGGUUACUUCAAUCGUGCGAUAAUGAGUUCUGCAGGACGAUCCAAAAUUUCCCUGCCAUGUCUGAUGAUCUGAUCAAUGGUCCAGGAAAUAAUGGGGGAAAGGGGAAACAAAUAUUAAGGAACAAUGUAUUGUCUUGUGAAUUCAUAAUAUUGUUGUUAGUAGGUUCUUUGUAAAUCCAGAGGACAAAACUUUCAGAAGUUCAAUUUGCCAGGCACUAAAAUUAGUCAAGACUUGAGACUUGCUUGCAGGCUUAUUUCAUCUGCAUUACUACAAAUCAAGCACUGCUGUGUUGAACAUUUCACUUAUGUUUGCUAUGGUCGUAUUUUCCUUUUCAAAAUCUUCAUGUCAUGGUUUCUUUUAUACCAUCUAGCUCAUCUACAAAAGCUUGAAUUCAAGAUUUCUUUUACCAAUUUCUAUUUCUCAAAUGAGCAGUUCAUGGCAUGGAAUAUGGAUUUGGAGCUCAUGAUUUCUCAUCAAGUGGUGUAUUUGAGGUGGAAUCAAAAAGUUGCCCUGGAUUUAUCUAUAGAAAAACGCUGUGGCUAGGCACAACUGACAUGUCCCGGGAAGAGUUCCGCUCGUUCAUUGAAAAACUUGCAGGGAAGUAUCAUGGCAACACAUAUCAUUUGAUUUCAAAGAACUGCAAUCAUUUCACAGAUGAUGUCUGUAAGAACUUGACUGGGAAGCCCAUCCCUGGCUGGGUGAAUCGGCUGGCCAGAGUAGGUUGGUAUCAUUGUAUGUUUUGCUUCCUGAGUUGGUGAAAAACAUAGCUGAUUGGUUACUUUUUCUCUCUCAAACUCUAGGUUCGGUUUUUGACUGUCUACUGCCAGAAAGUGUCCAAGUUUCUCCCAUCGGACGUGUCCCAACUCUUCGUCCAGUUGUUGGUCGGUAUCUUUCUAUAUUUUCUACCAUUACCUUUCAAAGGAAACUUAUCUGUUGUCUCUUUCUGUUAGUGUUAUUUCUUGUGAAAUUCUGUCGGGCUAAGAAUGAAAUUUUGUAUAGUUUGCAUUCCUUUUAGAAAAUGGGCUUCACCAUUUUAGUUGAUUAAGAUGUGAUUGUUUUCCUUGUCGUUCCUUUGAGGUUAGAAAUUUUACUCUAUCUUACAUGGUAGUCAAAAAUAUUCACAACUUUGUUUGUGUACCCUUUCAGUUUGAACAAUUAGUGUCACCAUCUAAAAACUGGUAUACACACUGGUAAUUUGCACAUAAUUAAGCUAUUAGUAGUUAAUAGCAAUUAAUUGUCUUAUUGAAAAAUCAUACCGGGCUAGCACUUACGACAGUAUCUUGGACUAAUGCUUUGAAAAAAUCCAUUGUUAUAUCUGAAAUGAAUUAUCUUGAGAGAAAGCUUUGCAACACAUGAGAACACACAUGGCGUUCAACGUUUUGUAUAUAUAACUCAUGCAUCAUUUAAAUUCUUUCAAGUUUUGUGUAGCUAUAACCUAUAGGAAAUUUGAUUAAAAGUGAGACAAGUUCUGUUGGUUUUCAUGCUCAACCGAGCAAAACAAAGAUAUGCUAUUAGUUUUCAUCAAAUCAAUCAAAGAUAUUCUAGUAGGUUUCAUCAAACCAAUCAUAUAUUCCUGACACAAGAAAGUCUGGGCUGCCAGAAAGGUGGCUAUAGGGCGGUUAGAUGAAGAAAAUGUAGUAGUGGAGGAAGCGUUCAAAGCUAUCGGAAGUCUGUUGUGUAACAUUGUCUAGAAAAAAAUGAUGCGCAAUCAGAAACUAUAAUAUUACAUGAUUUAAGAGCUCUUUUAUUGUCUACUCUCCUUCUCUUGGUAUAUUCAACUGCAGUAGAGUAAUCACCCGUUUAAGUUACCCUUGUGAACAACCGCAUUUUUAGGGCCUGUAAACAAUGGAGGGAUUGUAAAUACUAUGUCCUCUUAUAGUUCUGUUAGUUCUUUGCAAUCUUAUUGACCAUCCUCAUUAUUUCCUCUAAAAUAUUAUCCAGAUGAUGAUUUGGAUUCAGUAUCAUCGUCAGACAGCGAUGAGGACAAGCACCUGUUGCCAGCGCCGUCUGCUGACUUGCACCCUGUAGAUGUGCCAGUAAAGCUAGCCAAAGAUCUUCUUUGAGAGCACCUGGGAGCUU